AAGCAAGCAGCAUCACUUCCCAAUUAAUUCACACCUCUCUCUCUCUCUCCACACUCACCGCUUCUCCGAUGCCGUUGCAUAACGACGGUGACUGUACCUUAACGGAGCUCAUCUCCUCUCUCCUCGACCGCAUCCCCAAGCUUCUCAGCUUCAAAUCCAAAUGGUCCUCGAUCCGCGUCAAACUCGCCGAUCUCAACACUCACCUCUCCGAUAUCGCCGCCUCUUCUUCUUCUUCUUCUUCCAACCAGCUAGCUCUGGAUCUCCUCCUCUCCGCUCGAGAGACGCUGCACGACGCCGCCUCCGUCGCGGCGAGGUGCGAGGGACCGGAUUUAUCUGACGGAAAGCUCAAAACGCAGAGCGACGUCGACUCAAUCACGGCUCGGCUCGAUCGCCACGCGAAAGACGCUGAGGUUCUGAUCAGAAGCGGUCUUCUCAACGAAAUCGUUUCUGUUUCAUCUAAGAAGGAAGCUGCGGCGAGGAAUCUAGUUAUCCGGUUACAGAUCGGUGAACCGGAAUCGAAGAACUCGGCGAUCGAAUCGUUACUCGAGCUGCUUCAGGAAGAUGAUAAGAACGUGAUGAUCUCAGUAGCUCAAGGAGUUGUUCCCGUUCUUGUUCGGUUGCUCGAUUCGUGUAGCCUGAGCGUGAAGGAGAAGGUUGUAGCUGUGAUUUCAAGAAUCUCGUCCGUGGAGAGUAGUAAACACGUGUUGAUAGCUGAAGGAUUGUCUCUGCUGAAUCACCUCCUUCGCGUGUUGGAAUCAGGGAGUGGUUUUGGUAAAGACAAGGCUUGUGUUGCUCUGCAAUUGCCUGCUUAAGUGUCAUUCUAAGAAAUUGUAGAAAUAUUGUAAAUUGGCUUUUCCAAAAUACAAACUAUUUUAAUGUUGGAAACAUUUUACAAAUUUUUUUUCACUGGAAUUUAUGGAAAAGAACUUAGCCCAACAAAGUUAAGCCCAACGUACUAUACAAACAAAAGGUCAAACGAAAGACCAAAGUAAAGGCCCUCGGGCCAAACGAAAGAGCCCAAAACAAACGGGCCAAACAACACUUUGCUAACCAUGGGCCGAAAGCCCAUUGGAAAAACCCGUUGAAGAAGAAAGCACACAUAACCCUCCAGAUGUCCGAUCGCCCUGCGAUCAAUGAACACGUGUCAAGGCACGAAUCCCUUCCUUCCACCGGAACCAGAGAGAAGAACGGCGAAGCUCCGCCGACGGUGAAAACGAACCACGAAAACCAUCAGAAUGGUCUUCCAAGAGGCUCGAAUUGAAAAAUCUAUCUGGCGGAUCUACGAAACGACGAAGGAUAAUCAACCGCCUACAAUCGAUCCUACAUCUCCGACUAUCAUGCAAAAUCAAGCAGGCAUCUUUAAAGAUAAAAGUAAGCGUGAAAAUGCAAAAACCCAAAAACGAUUGGAAAGGAGAAUCGUCAGAGCUUCAGAAAGAGAGGCAGUGAGACGGAAGAGAACAGAAUCGUAGAUCAAAUGGAUCCGGAAAAACCCGGACUUUAGGCGGCGAUAGCGAUGCUAGAAGGAGCCAUCACCUCCCGGAGACAAAAGCCAGUCUACCGGUCGGAUGAAACCGAAACCGAAAAACCAAAAAACGAUGGUCUCUCUCACUCUCAAAACAAAAUCUAACCUCUCUGAAAUUUUUUUUUGAAGAUAAGAGAGGAAGAAUGGUGGAGAGAGAACUCUCUCUCUAGGAGAGGAGAGAGGCCGACUGGAAACAUUUUACAAUCUAAAAGUCCAACUAAUAGUAAUAAACUUUUAAAUUAGAAAUUGUGUUUCCACGUAACACAUUACACAUGCAUGAGAUUCUAUUGGGGGUUGACGAAGAAAGUGUAAACAAUGAAAAAGAAACUCACGCGCUUACUUACCCCUCCUGUAUUUCGCUCUUUCCAAACUGGCACAAAGCAAGCAGCAUCACUUCCCAAUUAAUUCACACCUCUCUCUCUCUCUCCACACUCACCGCUUCUCCGAUGCCGUUGCAUAACGACGGUGACUGUACCUUAACGGAGCUCAUCUCCUCUCUCCUCGACCGCAUCCCCAAGCUUCUCAGCUUCAAAUCCAAAUGGUCCUCGAUCCGCGUCAAACUCGCCGAUCUCAACACUCACCUCUCCGAUAUCGCCGCCUCUUCUUCUUCUUCUUCUUCCAACCAGCUAGCUCUGGAUCUCCUCCUCUCCGCUCGAGAGACGCUGCACGACGCCGCCUCCGUCGCGGCGAGGUGCGAGGGACCGGAUUUAUCUGACGGAAAGCUCAAAAC
rnacentral:lncRNA from 1 species